rnacentral:rRNA from 1 species
UCCUACGGGAGGCAGCAGUGAGGAAUAUUGGUCGAUGGACGAGAGUCUGAACCAGCCAAGUAGCGUGAAGGAUGACUGCCCUAUGGGUUGUAAACUUCUUUUAUAUGGGAAUAAAGUUUUCCACGUGUGGAAUUUUGUAUGUACCAUAUGAAUAAGGAUCGGCUAACUCCGUGCCAGCAGCCGCGGUAAUACGGAGGAUCCGAGCGUUAUCCGGAUUUAUUGGGUUUAAAGGGAGCGUAGGUGGAUUGUUAAGUCAGUUGUGAAAGUUUGCGGCUCAACCUGUGGCCUGCAUUUGAAACUGUAGU